ACGUGGGUGACCUGCCUUCGAGUGGGGGAUAACGUCCCGAAAGGGACGCUAAUACCGCAUGACAUCCUGCCUUUGAAGAGGUGGUGAUUAAAGCUGGGGAUCGCAAGACCUGGCGCUUGAAGAGGGGCCCGCGUCCGAUUAGCUAGUUGGUGGGGUAACGGCCUACCAAGGCGACGAUCGGUAGCCGGCCUGAGAGGGCGGACGGCCACACUGGGACUGAGACACGGCCCAGACUCCUACGGGAGGCAGCAGUGGGGAAUUGUUCGCAAUGGGCGCAAGCCUGACGACGCAACGCCGCGU
rnacentral:rRNA from 1 species